rnacentral:tmRNA from 1 species
GGGGACGCCAAGGUUUCGACGGGUUGUAUGGAUGGCGUGAGGAGCAGGCGGAGGCUGGGGUGCCCUCCUUAAUCAGGACUCCAAAAUCUAAGUGCCAAUAACACUUACGCAAUGGCUGCCUAACUAAAAGUACGGCACCUGUCGCCCCCGGGAACUGUCUAACGAUACCGGGCCCGAUAUCAAAUCAUGGUUAGACUGGCCCGUGGACUGCCAUGCAGACGGGCGAGAUUUAGUGGCUGGCUCCCGAUAGUUUUGGGGUUGGUACGCCCCGGGAGUGAGAAACCAACCAACUCCUAAGCCUGUAGCGCCUUGUGUGGUCCGCUUCUCGGACGCGGGUUCGAUUCCCGCCGUCUCCACUA